GGAGCCAGCAGGACAGACCGAGACCCACCGGACACAGCAGAACCCACCGGUCCCCGUGUCCCCGAUACUGUCUCCCCCCAUUCGCCGGUUCCUGGCCCUGCUGAGGCCCGAGCGCGGGCGAUGUACUCUGGUGGGAAGCUGAUGUCGGCUUCUGCUCUCGAAGUUUUUCCCUGUGGUCUGGUCACAGCUGUGCUGAGGAACAGGAAGACCCACGGCCACAUGAGGGAGACCCGUGGAAAAGCCUUGGUGCCUCAAGGGGAUCCUGACCAGUGGAGUGGAGAGCUGCAGCAGUGCUGAGGAACAGGGAACAGCCAAAUGAGGGAGACCCGUAGAGAAGCCUUGGUGCCCAGAGGGGAUCCUGACCAGCAGCCUGGAGAGCUGCAGGCUUGAAGAUGCCAUCAGGAUUCAGAGGAAGAAGCUGACACUGACCAGACAGAAUCCUGUGUUUGAAUGGAAUUUCUGCAUCAUGUAUGAGGUGUGUGAAUAUGCAACAGGUUAUUGUUUUUAAGAGUUAAUCCUCGGUUAAUGUGUGUCCUUUUAUGGGCUUAUGCUGCCCAGAAAAGGGUACCUGGACGUCUGCUACUCUUUGCUUUUGUUGUCUCAUAUUGUCCUAAAUCCUAAUUGUCCAAAUUACUAAUGCUCUAAUUAUAUUACUGUUUUUAUAACCAUUUUAUUACUAUUAAACUUUUAAAAUUUUAAAAACAA